AGUGAACGCUGGCGGCGUGCCUAACACAUGCAAGUCGAAGGAAGUGGCGAACGGGUGAGUAAUAUAUAGCUAAUCUGCCUUUUGCUGGAGGACAACAGUUAGAAAUUACUUCUAAUACCCCAUAGCAAGGGAUGAGAGUAUAUCGUAUAAGCUAGUAGGUGGGGUAACGGCCUACCGAGGCUAUGACGCGUAACUGGUCUGAGAGGAUGAUCAGUAAGAGUGGAAGUGAGAGACUGUACAAACUCCUACGGGAGGCAGCAGUAGGGAAGAUUACGCAAUGGGGGAAAGCCUGACGGAGCAACGGCGCGUGAAGAAUGACACUGUUCGGUGCAUAAACGCCUUUUGGUACGGAGGCGGUACCUAAAGAAUAAGCACCGGCUAACUCCGUGCCAGCAGCCGCGGUAAUUC
rnacentral:rRNA from 1 species